GAAAUGCGAUAAGUAAUGUGAAUUGCAGAAUUCCGUGAAUCAUCGAAUCUUUGAACGCACAUUGCGCCCUCUGGUAUUCCGGGGGGCAUGCCUGUCCGAGCGUCAUUGCGAACCCCUCAAGCACGGCUUGUGUGAUGGGCCCUCCCGCGUCUUGGUCGUCAAGACGGGCCCGAAAUGCGGUGGCGGCUUCGCGGUUAUCCGAUCAGCCAGAGCGUAUGGGGACUUUCUCUCUGUCACACGCCCGCGGCGCGGACCGACGCCUGUCGACCUUCAUUCAUCGUUUUCUCGGUUGACCUCGGAUCAGGUAGGGAUACCCGCUGAACUUAAGC
rnacentral:misc_RNA from 1 species